ACUCCUACGGGAGGCAGCAGUGGGAAUAUUGGACAAUGGGGCAACCCGUGAUCCAGCAAUGCCGCGUGUGUGAAGAAGGCCUUCGGGUUGUAAAGCACUUUUAUCAGGAAAGAAAUCCAGUUGGUUAAUACCCGGCUGGGAUGACGGACCUGAGGAAUAAGCACCGGCUAACUUCGUGCCAGCAGCCGCGGUAAUACGAAGGGUGCAAGCGUUAAUCGGAAUUACUGGGCGUAAAGGGUGCGUAGGCGGCCUGUUAAGUCAGAUGUGAAAGCCCUGGGCUC
rnacentral:rRNA from 1 species